GCCCGGGCAAUAACUAUCUUUUCUGGCUGUUUCCACUCGCCCCUCACCCUGCGGCUCGCACAGAAGCUCUGUCCGCGCAGGGAGCAGCUAGUGCCGGUCCCCAACGCGAGGAUGCUGUGGUGGCUGCAUUUUGCUUUUCUCGCAGCAGCGUCCAAAGGGGCCCAGGGCCAGGCGCGGCUGGUGGAGUCCGGGGGCGGGGCUGCGAACACAGGCGGCUCCAGGCGGCUCUCCUGCACCGGCUCCGGAUUCGCUUUCAGCAGCUACACCAUGUUCUGGUACCGGCAGGCCCCCGGGAAAGGGCUGGAAUGGGUGUCCUGGAUCAGGAGCAGUGGCGGCAGCACAGAUUACACUAACGCAGUGAAAGGGCGAUUCACCGUCACCAGAGACAACGCCAAGAACCAGCUGUCUCUGCAGAUGAGCCGCCUGGGACCCGAGGACACCGCCCGGUAUUUCUGCGCUGCUAGGGACACAGUGACGCGAAGCCGGGCUGAGCUCUGACAAAAACUCUCUGCGUUCAGCCCAGGGCAUUCGGCAGCGUCCCGUGACUAACAUCACCCCCUGAACUCCGGCCUCCCUCACCCAGAACUCAUAGCCCGCCGCUGACCCUCCCACUCACUACCGCCCCAUUCUCGUCCUUGUGCAGAGCAGUGCGUUGUCGGGGUCGGGGGGGCAGGGCGUGUGUCUGUGCACGGGUGGGCAGGAGCUUUUCUCAGAGCACAGAGCAGGGAUAUAAACACUGACACCCGCGGGUGAGAGCAGAGAACGGGCCUGAACUCUGCUGGGUUCACUAGCAAACCUGCGGGUUUCUCCCAAGCCGGGCUGACCCAGGAACUCUCUCACCGCGCACCGACGAGAACGUGUCUGUCCCUGCCUGGACGCGCGUGGAAGGGCUGUUCGGCCGGCUGCACGUUCAAAGAAAAAGAGCUCCAGAUUUUUGUACACAACUCUUCGCGUGGUGGGGGGUCUGCUCCAGGCGGGGACCUGUGCGGAUGUUGGCUCUCGUGCAACCCAGGCUGGUAAGAAAGUGCCCAGUUCCGACUUGAAUUACAUUUACACCAAGGACCCAAUGGGAGCGCCCGCUAGUCACUGAGGGCAGAACUGAGAACCCCAGAGCGGUAACAACGAGCCUGAUUGAAAACACAAGCACAGCCACACGAGAGAUUCGUUUUUGCGGCCGGGAGAUUAUCCCUGGCUUUCCACACUGAGCCUCUGCAGGGUAAGUGUAUCUGGUAACGAUGAGCGGCGCCACAAAGGCAAGGCUCCUGCUGCACCCGCUGGGGUUGGUCUGCCCUUAAAGAAGGGAGGAAAUGCAAAUG